UACGUAGGGUGCAAGCGUUGUCCGGAAUUAUUGGGCGUAAAGAGCUCGUAGGCGGUCUGUCGCGUCUGCUGUGAAAUCUCAGGGCUUAACCCUGAGCUUGCAGUGGGUACGGGCAGACUAGAGUGCGGUAGGGGAGACUGGAAUUCCUGGUGUAGCGGUGAAAUGCGCAGAUAUCAGGAGGAACACCGAUGGCGAAGGCAGGUCUCUGGGCCAUAACUGACGCUGAGAAGCGAAAGCAUGGGGAGCGAACAGG
rnacentral:rRNA from 1 species